rnacentral:rRNA from 1 species
UACGGGGGGGGCAAGCGUUGUUCGGAAUUACUGGGCGUAAAGGGCUCGUAGGUGGCCAACUAAGUCAGACGUGAAAUCCCCAGGCUUAACCUGGGAACUGCGUCUGAUACUGGAUGGCUUGAAUUCGGGAGAGGGAUGCAGAAUUCCAGGUGUAGCGGUGAAAUGCGUAGAUAUCUGGAGGAAUACCGGUGGCGAAGGCGGCAUCCUGGACCAACGCUGACGCUGAGGAGCGAAAGCGAGGGGAGCAAACGGG